rnacentral:rRNA from 1 species
AAGAGUGACGGGCGAUGUGUACACACUUCAGAGCCAAUUUCAAUAAAGAAUUUUAUUCUGAAUUUACUACUAAAUCCACCUUUAUAAUAUAUGUACAUAUAUUAAUCCGUAUAAUUACAAUUUAUUGUAGCUCACUACUCCCAUAUUUAUAAGCUGCACCUUGACCUGAAGUCCUAAUUUAAAAUUACUUAGAUUAUAUUUUCUAAAAAUAAUCUGACAACGGCGGUAUACAAACUGAAUACAAAAAUAUGUGCAUUUAAACGUGGAUUAUCGAUCCAAGAGCAAGCUCCUCUAGUAAGAAUGAAGUACCGCCAAAUUCUUUAGGUUUGAACAUUUUUACUACCCAGGCAACAGUUCAACAGAGAAUAAUAGGGUAUCUAAUCCUAGUUUAUACCCCUAUUUAUAAAGGUAAUGAAUUCCUUAGAAAUUUUUAAUUUAAAAAAAUAAAGAUUUUACCCCUAAUUUGUUACCAAAAAAAUCCCACAAAAAUUAAUAUUUACUUAAUUCCACCAAGCUAUUUCAUUCAGAUCCUUCGUAUAAC